GACGAACGCUGGCGGCGUGCUUAACACAUGCAAGUCGAACGGAAAGGCCCUGCUUUUGUGGGGUGCUCGAGUGGCGAACGGGUGAGUAACACGUGAGUAACCUGCCCUUGACUUUGGGAUAACUUCAGGAAACUGGGGCUAAUACCGGAUAGGAGCUCCUGCUGCAUGGUGGGGGUUGGAAAGUUUCGGCGGUUGGGGAUGGACUCGCGGCUUAUCAGCUUGUUGGUGGGGUAGUGGCUUACCAAGGCUUUGACGGGUAGCCGGCCUGAGAGGGUGACCGGCCACAGUGGGACUGAGAUACGGCCCAGACGCCUACGGGAGGCAGCAGUGGGGAAUAGUGCACAAUGGGCGGAAGCCUGAUGCAGCAACGCCGCGUGCGGGAUGACGGCCUUCGGGUUGUAAACCGCUUUCGCCUGUGACGAAGCGUGAGUGACGGUAAUGGGGAAAGAAGCACCGGCUAACUACGU
rnacentral:rRNA from 1 species